AAUGUUGAUUCCCAAGAACCCCGGCAACGGCGCCAAAUUUGAUAAGGUUCAAAUUACCUAGAACUACUCUCUCAAAUAAGAGAUCAAUUGCAGUAUUUUAGGAUCGAAUUCACGGAGUUCUUUUGUUCAAACAGUCAGUUAAAUGUCGAGAUUAAGCUAGCAGGGUAUGAGUGAAAUAGUAAGUAAACAAAACAAGAAAACAGAAGAUUGAUUGGUUUGUAAACGAUUAGGAAAAGAGCUAGGAACAGGGUAUUCUCAGGAAACUAUUGGUUAGUAGAUCUAAUGAAAGCUAGGUUGUUAUCGAACCAUUCUUAAACUCAAACUCUAAUUAUGGAAUAACUGGUGGGCGUGCCACGAAACUCCCUAUAUCUAUAGCUAAUAAUAACCGGAGAAGCCGAGAAACUAUCAACCUAAAUAUGCAUUCUUAACGAGUUCAGUUGUUCAUCUUAGUAAAUAGGCCGAUCCUUAUU
rnacentral:sRNA from 1 species